CCCUCCCGCAAGCACACAGAUCCUCUCUUCUCUCCAUGUAGUCACUACUUGGGGAAGGGGAAUGGGUGGUAUCAGCAAUUCAAGACUGAUUUCUUUUCCAUCUUCAGCGCCCCUUUCCUUGAUAUGAUGUUAAAACCAGAACAAGAAACAGAUCGAGGAAGAGGCAGAGUAACAACAGCCGGGAAGAAGAUACAGUUUUAGAGAGUCAGGAAUUCUUCACUGUGUUUCAUCAUUGAAUAUGUCUGCAGGAAUUUAUGAUCAUCAUAUCCAGUGGGGGUGACUGAAACUACCUUAUGCCUGGGUCAUUUUGUAGUGAGACUGUGCCCUAUACAUGAACCUAUUUGCCAGACCCAUCAAGUGAAUUCCGUGAUUCUUAUGAAAAGUGCCAUUAGACCUGUGAGAGGGGCUGUGACAGUGGAACCCGAAUGAAGACAGGAAAAGUCUGUAGAGGACUGAUGGUUAUGUUCACCAUUCAAAUUGCAAGAAAACCAAUAAGAAGUCAGUAAAGUGCAUUCAAAGAGAAAGGUGGGACUCGUGAAGGGGCCAAGGGAAAAGAGCUUCAUUAGCAUAUUUGUCAAGCAGAUGUGAAAUGAGGCAGAAAACUACUAGAACAAUUGGAGAAAUCUAGAAUAUGAAGUUCCAGCACAAACUUAGAUGGCUUCUAACUAUGUGAAGGUUUGAACAGCAGCUUCUGACAUAGAAAAUAACCACAGCAAAAAGAGGCACUAACAAGUGACAGAUGUGGUUGACUCAUCUCCUUCUCCCUUCGACUCUCUAAUGAGCAAUUAAAUAGCCUGAAACAGAACAAUCAAGAGGUCUGGCAAAUCCACACACUAGAUGAUGAAGAAAUGUACAUCCAAGGAAAAUCAAACCAAGUAAAGGAGGAAAAACUUUGAGUUCUGCUUAAGGUCUAGGACUUCCUAAGGCUCAUUCCAGCUCCUCCAGAUGAAGGCAUUUUCUAGAUGACUGCCUUUUCACUUAACUGUGUCCUCAUAUGGAAGAGAGGAGAAAAGAGGAGAGGAGGGGAGAGGCAAGUUCUCUUGUGUUUCUUCUUACAAAGCACAAAUGCCAUUAUGAGGGCCCCACCCUCAGGACCUCAUCUAAUCCUAAUUUCCUCCCAAAAUUAAAUCUCAAAUGUCAUCAC
rnacentral:lncRNA from 10 species